rnacentral:lncRNA from 1 species
UGAAAUUUUUGAUGAGAUAUUUGUGCUUAAAUGAUUGAUUUAAAGUGAAUUUGUGACAAUUGGAUUUAUUGGGUUUGGGAAUUAAAGAUGCUUAAAAUGUGAUUUUUAGUUGCAUAAAUUAUUUUGGAUGUUCUAAUGUUUAUUUGUGCAGCUGAAGUUAAAAUUUUAUUCAUUUAAAACAUGAAAUUGAAUGGUCAAAGAUGGUCCAAUCUGGUCAACUCAGGACUCUUAUGCAAUUUUGAAAAGAAAGNGAUGGCUAAACUACAAUUAGAGGAAAAUUUU